rnacentral:lncRNA from 1 species
CAGAGAAUACCUCCUGGCCAAAGCUGUUUGGAGCCAGAGUCACCAUGGUGGGAGGAGGAGGAGGAGGAAAUGGUGAAGGAGGACAAAUGUUUUGCAAGGCCACAGGAGGAGGUCUCCUUUUGCCCCCCUGAUACCCGAUCUUGCCUGCUGGGUCCCCAGAAUCGGCCCCUGGACCCCAAAGUCUUGUGUAUUCUCCGUGGUUUGUUCCUGGAUCACCAUCCUGGGAGCACCGCCCUCCACUUGCUAUUGGUGGACUGCCAGGCUGCAGGCCUCCUAGGAGUGACCAAAAUUCAGCGAGCUGCCAUGGGCGUCGCUUCGGGCCUGGAACUGCUCACGCUUCCCCAUGGGCAUCGCUUGAGGCUGGAACUGCUGGAGAGGUGAUUCAUCGACCUGGAACCUUGGUCCUGGAGGGGAAGUGGGUACGGG